UACGUAGGGUGCAAGCGUUGUCCGGAAUUAUUGGGCGUAAAGAGCUCGUAGGCGGUCUGUCGCGUCUGCUGUGAAAACUCAGGGCUUAACCCUGAGCGUGCAGUGGGUACGGGCAGACUAGAGUGCGGUAGGGGAGACUGGAAUUCCUGGUGUAGCGGUGAAAUGCGCAGAUAUCAGGAGGAACACCGGUGGCGAAGGCGGGUCUCUGGGCCGUAACUGACGCUGAGGAGCGAAAGCAUGGGGAGCGAACAGG
rnacentral:rRNA from 1 species